GACCAGACUCCUACGGGAGGCAGCAGUGGGGAAUAUUGCACAAUGGGGGAAACCCUGAUGCAGCGACGCCGCGUGAGUGAAGAAGUAUUUCGGUAUGUAAAGCUCUCUCAGCAGGGAAGAAAAUGACGGUACCUGGCUAAGAAGCCCCGGCUAACUACGUGCCAGCAGCCGCGGUAAUACGUAGGGGGCAAGCGUUAUCCGGAUUUACUGGGUGUAAAGGGAGCGUAGACGGCAUGGCAAGUCAGAUGUGAAAGCCCGGGGCUCAACCCCGGGACUGCAUUUGAAACUGUCAGGCUGGAGUGCAGGGGAGGUAAGUGGAAUUCCUAGUGUAGCGGUGAAAUGCGUAGAUAUUAGGAGGAACACCGGUGGCGAAGGCGGCUUACUGGACUGUAACUGACGUUGAGGCUCGAAAGCGUGGGGAGCAAACAGGAUUAGAUACCCCCGUA
rnacentral:rRNA from 1 species